rnacentral:rRNA from 1 species
UACAGAGGUCCCAAGCGUUGUUCGGAUUUACUGGGCGUAAAGGGUGCGUAGGUGGCGGGGUAAGUCUGGUGUGAAAGCUCCGAGCUCAACUCGGAAAAGCAUUGGAAACUAUCCCGCUGGAGGGUCGGAGGGGAGACUGGAAUUCUCGGUGUAGCAGUGAAAUGCGUAGAUAUCGAGAGGAACACCAGUGGCGAAGGCGAGUCUCUGGACGACUACUGACACUGAGGCACGAAAGCUAGGGGAGCAAACAGG